ACAUUAUCCCUCAGGUGAAUCUCAGCAGGCGAGUCCACGCACCAUAAUGUUUCAUUGUUCCUUCACUAACAACAUAGACAGCAUUUCCCAUUUUACCAGACAAAUGGCAUACACCCCCAAUUAUAAUUAAAUUAAAAAUUCAACGAUUUUGCAUUAUACACUUCAAUCAUAUACUGGAGCCUUUCUUCAUGACCCGGGAGUAAAAAGUUCAUGCAUUGAUGACCAGGUUGCUCAAUUUAUAUUAUUCUGUGUGCAGAGAAUAAGAGAAGGGAAAAAAGAAUCAAAAAAGGAUGGUGCUUUGAUAUAUGAUGAAGUGAAGGUGAUAUCCCGUUUGAUGUGGAGUUCCCGCAGUCAAACGUUGAAUUGUCUCAAUAUGACAUGUGUUGAAAUGUCUUCUCUAGCUGAUAUGUGCCAAACCUUAGAGUAAGACACAGCUACCCAGACAUGUUACAUAUUACAGUUUCUUUGGGGAGAUCUUACCAGUGCUUUUGAUAUAACUGGGCCCUAUUUUAUGAGUAGCAAGACCAUGGACAGUAAAUUUCUAAUUUCCUGCAUACUGGAAACAAUUAAAUUGUUCCACUUGAAAGGACUUUUGACAUCAGUGCUUGUAUGUAAUGGAGCCUCAGCAAAUCUUACCACAGUUAAGGCAACACAUGGUCACCAUGGUGUAUAUCUCAUUAUGAUAGAAAAGGAAGACCCAUAUUCUAUUGAGCCAUUUAUGAUGAAUCCCUUUGACCUGCCAAAUUUAAUCUUUUGAUUAAUUUGUCCAACUCAUCAAAAAGUGGCACAAAGAACUUCCUUCUUGAUGGGAUCAAUUUUGGUUGGAAUGGUAUCACCAUGAUGUAUGAGAGAGAAUGCAACAGAGUAGAAAAGAUAUAUAUUAACAAGGAUGGUUCCUAAACUUAAGGAAAUACAUGUAAUUUGUGAUUCAUGGACAAAACUAAACGUAACUUCAGCUAAGAUUAUGCAGGUAUAAUUACCAAAAAGCUAUACCACUGUGUCACUGAAAAUCCUGACAAAGCAGUGGUGGAUGGUUCUGGGAAAUCAUUGGAAUACCUUGAAGCGUGUAACAACAUAUUUGAGAAUGGUUUUCUUAGUCACAAAAAAGUUACUGGUAUGAGUUCUGAUGUUAUCUGCUCCAUUAAUAAAGGCUAUCAAUUUUUUACGAAGUGGAUUGAUCAAAUUUUACUUAACAAUCCUGAUUUUGAACAUGGUGGUGCUACUCAAAAAAAGUUUCUUGCAUGGCAAACAUUUGACCUAUUAAGGAUUGAUGUUUAUGGCAUUCGGGCAUUUUGCAAGCACUUCUUGGACAAACAUCCUAGAUAUUAUAUUUCUCCAAUGCAUUUAUCAGGCUCAGCAGUAGAAAGCCUGUUUGGUCAAUUCAAGUACAGUUCUGGAGGAAAGUUAGAUGCUGCUAAUUAUUCAAUUGCUCGUGCUACUUGCAUGGUAAAACAAGUUGUUGCUGAUCAUCAUAGUGGCAAGGUUAUAGAGACAAGGAACUUCAAAUACCCAAUUUGCCACUUCAGAAGGAAGUAUAUAACAAGAAGGAUGCUACUAAAGAAUAAUUAUUAAAAUGAAAUAAAAAUUUAAUAUUGUGAUUUAAUUUUUGUAGGUGAUUGUAAGUUUGUGUGUUGUGUGAGUAACUUGUCACGUAAAUUUUGAUCAGUUGUA
rnacentral:lncRNA from 1 species